CGAGAAUCUGGAGAGCCUGAGACGGGAAUGGAUGAGGUGAAUGGGCUCAGGAAUGAGAAAAGGCGCAAAGGGCAGCCGCAGGCAGGUCUAAGAGGCUAGGACCAAGGAGGAAAGAACUGGUGGAGGCAUGGGACGAGGAAUAAGAACUGCUUGACCUGUAUAACAGGAAAAGUGAUUGAGGAGUCCUUUCUUGCAGUCGCCUUUCAGAUGAGAGAUUUUGGCUCAAGAGAGUUCUAUUCUUGUCCAAGAUCACAUAGCUUAAAGGUAAGCCUCCAGUUCCAAGUCUUUGCUCUCUCACACUUUUCAGAGUUGUUUAAUUGUUUUAAAAAUCAGGGUCAAAUAAUGCUUCCAUAUUGUGGGAAAUAUAUUCAUGUGUAUCCCUGAGAGUGCUGCUUUAAUGACAAGGGUGAUUAUUCCAAAUCAACAGCUGCAGAGAAAGCAAGUGAUUGAUAUAGAAAUUAUGCAUUUUGUUGCUGCAAUAUUAUGUACAGUGUUGUAUCC